rnacentral:rRNA from 1 species
GACGAACGCUGGCGGCGUGCUUAACACAUGCAAGUCGAACGAGGUCCACCGCGUAGCAAUACAAGGGAAGACCUAGUGGCGAACGGGUGCGUAACACGUGAGGAACUUGUCCCGGUCUCUGGGAUAACAGUUGGAAACGACUGCUAAUACCGGAUGACGUCGGAGCAUCGCAUGGUGCGCUGACGAAAGGGUUACUGGAUCGGGAGAGCCUCGCGGCCUAUCAGCUUGUUGGUGGGGUAACGGCCUACCAAGGCAUCGACGGGUAGCUGGUCUGAGAGGAUGAUCAGCCACACUGGGACUGAGACACGGCCCAGACUCCUACGGGAGGCAGCAGUGGGGAAUCUUGCGCAAUGGGCGAAAGCCUGACGCAGCAACGCCGCGUGCGGGAAGAAGGCCCUCGGGUUGUAAACCGCUUUCAGCAGGAACGAAAAUGACGGUACUUGCAGAAGAAGGUGCGGCCAACUACGUGCCAGCAGCCGCGGUAAU